GUGGGGAAUAUUGGACAAUGGGCGCAAGCCUGAUCCAGCCAUGCCGCGUGAGUGAUGAAGGCCUUAGGGUUGUAAAGCUCUUUCACCGAUGAAGAUAAUGACGGUAGUCGGAGAAGAAGCCCCGGCUAACUUCGUGCCAGCAGCCGCGGUAAUACGAAGGGGGCUAGCGUUGUUCGGAAUUACUGGGCGUAAAGCGCACGUAGGCGGAUAUUUAAGUCAGGGGUGAAAUCCCAGAGCUCAACUCUGGAACUGCCUUUGAUACUGGGUAUCUCGAGUAUGGAAGAGGUGAGUGGAAUUCCGAGUGUAGAGGUGAAAUUCGUAGAUAUUCGGAGGAACACCAGUGGCGAAGGCGGCUCACUGGUCCAUUACUGACGCUGAGGUGCGAAAGCGUGGGGAGCAAACAGGAUUAGAAACCCCGGUAGUCC
rnacentral:rRNA from 1 species